AAAUUGAAGAGUUUGAUCAUGGCUCAGAUUGAACGCUGGCGGCAGGCCUAACACAUGCAAGUCGAACGGUAACAGGAAGCAGCUUGCUGCUUCGCUGACGAGUGGCGGACGGGUGAGUAAUGUCUGGGAAACUGCCUGAUGGAGGGGGAUAACUACUGGAAACGGUGGCUAAUACCGCAUAACGUCGCAAGACCAAAGAGGGGGACCUUCGGGCCUCUUGCCAUCAGAUGUGCCCA
rnacentral:rRNA from 9 species